AUGGACCGAGCCCACCGGCUCCCUUUGUUCGCACGGGAACACGACGCCUCUCCCCCGGUUCCGACAGGACAACUUCAGCCGCGAGCUCGGGCUCAACCCAAACCAUCGCCGCCGCUUCGGCCGGGGCUGGCCGUGCCCGCUCCCAGCUCGGCGGGAGGCAGGGAGGAGCUGCCCAGGUGUGCUGAGGGGCCUGUACUCAGGAAGAGAAACAGGGAAUCCUCCACAGCAUUGGAAAAGUACCCCAACUCACCAAUGACUGCAAAACAAAUACUGGAAGUCAUUCAGAAAGAAGGGUUAAAAGAAACAAGGUCAGUGUUUAUGUAUUCUGUAUUUUUACUGUCUCUUUGAAAACCAUCUAGGAAUGGUUCACAGAACACAGUGUGCUGGUUAAUGGCUGAAUUAAUUUCCAGUACCACGGUGGGAAAUACAGCUUAUGGGUUUUUUUUGUUCAUUAGUUCAAGGCUUUUAAAAUGGAAAGUGACUGGCGUAACUUUGUGCCUUCCAAAAGGCCUCUGUUGGCCAGCUCUGGUCCAAUAGCCUUUCUUUACAAACAGAGUGGGAUCCGGUCAGAAAGUCCAGAGCUGCUGCUCGUUUUUGCUGAAAGCCCCAGGCUUGGUGGCUGUGUUGCCUCUACCAUCAUGGGCGUGAAGAAUGUGUGAGGUGGAGUUGGAAGCACUCUUUCUCUCACUUAAGUUUGUGGUCUGGCACUUAAGUUGCUGUUAUGACAUGCUGGUGUUGCCUGCAGCAGUGGGGGCUGAGCUGAUAAAGGGUCGGGAAUGGAUGGAGAGCAGUGUUGGAGCACUGAGAGCUAGUCUGCAUAGUUGCAGCGCCUGGAUCCUGAGUUGCUAAAUAGCAGUGUACACUGGAUGUAGAUUUCAGCUAUAAUCUUAAAGCUGUUAGAGGUUUGGUGGGUUAUCCAGAGUUAUGGAAAUCAUAGUUGUCUUCUGACUCCAGUAUGUUUGGGAUCAGAUAAGUAUGGUUCACUCAGAUGAGCAUGCUCCGUCCUGUUUCUGCUUGGUAGGUCUUCUAGUGACCCUCAGAUGGAAACUUGGGCAGGAAAUAAUAUAAGGAAAAACUGUUUGUUUGGUGGUUGUUUCCUACAAGAUGCAGUUUCCUCUUCUCCAAAUCAUAAAUUUUUCUAUUCUAAUAAGUAAUUCUAAUAUGUGUUGCUGUCUCAAAGGGAAACAUUUGCUUUUAUUUUAAUUAUAUUCCUUUAUUUUGGUACCUAAAUUCUAGAAAAAGGGAACAUAAAGCCUGAGUGGAGCAGUAGUAACACAUUAUUUCCGUUACUUCUGAACAUAAUCUGUUGAACCAGAAGUAACUGCGGGAUAUAUUUUUACUGAGUUCAGUGUUGUUCCUAAAGAACAGAAAUGCUCUGCAUGACUGUUUGCAGUGCUUGGCCAUGCACUGCUUUCUUGGUACCCAUAUGACAUGGUUAUAAUAUCUGUAUUUUGGUAAGAGUGCAAAAGAGAUGGAGUGCAAGAUGAAGCUGAAUUUGCCAUGUUUUACAGAUAUGAAAUGCUUUAGUUCCUGCCAAGAAAUUGCUUGAAGUGUAUUUGGCAGGGCCAAAGAAACAAGGAAAUGAAAACUUUUGAAAACGAAUGUCCAAACGUGUGUUAUGCUGUAAGGAUUUGCAUUUAAAAAAAAAGAAAAGAAAAAAACACCAAACAACCACAUUUGAAAAUCUGUUUUCAUUAAGAUUCUGUUUCUCACAGCAGUGCAUAGAUUGCUUUCUUCUUACAUCUUGUGAUAUGAGGCAACCACAUGGGAGAAGCUUACAUGCCUGAUAAUAGCAUUUCUUUGUAAUUUUAAAAAUUCUUGUUUCCCUAAAAAGUAUGUAAAUAAAAUUUUGUGCGUAAAACCUAUGGGAGGUAGU
ensembl:lncRNA